GAAAAGAAAGACUUGCCUUUUUUUCUUAUAAAAAACAAGAUUUUACCCAAGGAACGAUUUUGCUGGUCAUUCCAUAAUUUCUCUCUAUUCUUAACGCUAUGCCUCCAAGAAAAGAACUCUGCAGGAAUUUUAUGCGUGGCAGGUUCCUUUGCGAAAGUAUGAAAAACAGGAUCUGAUCGUUGUCUUAUUUCAUCCAACUGUCAAUAUGGUGACGUUGUAAAUUGCAACACGCUGCCCCACAACAUCCGAAGCCGAAUCUAUUUGGGUUUGGCAGCCAAUCCACUAGUUUUCAGAGUACGAAUAUGCAGCAGACAAAGUCCAACCCCUUUGGUUUUGGUGUUCAGAGCAACUCCCAGCCAAGAGGGUCUAAUGAUUUAGGGCUCAAACAGAAUCAAUACAAGCAAAGGGAAUAAUGCAACCGGUGCUAUCUUCAAACUAUAAAGUCACAUGAAUCUAAAGGAAAGGUUGAUUAAUGGAAAAAUAUGGAGUUAAAUAUUUUUAUGCAUAAGUAUGUGGAGUUUAAUACUUACUGUUUUGUUUUUAUGGUAAUUAACGUUUUCUACUGUUAGUAGUUACAUACUGUCGUCAUCAGCAAUAGUGUACUGGUGACUGGUGAGUCAAUAUCUGUGUAUGCUUUUAUUGAGACUUUCUGCAUUGUUUAUUUAUCAGAUUAAAUGACAUAUUUAUGUAAUAGAAAACUAUGAUUAUGGACUUGUGCAUGAGUAUGUGUUGGUUCAUAUUUAUCCAGUUUCUAGGUGCUAUGAAGAAUUAAAAUGAAUAGAUAGGUCUUAUGAUAUUGUAAAAACACAUGAUGCUUAUUAACAUUUAAACCACAAGAAGCUGGAUGACUACUUAAAUUGGCAAAUCAAAGAGAGGGUUCGGGAUUUUCAUAUCCCAAAUUCCCAAUUAAUAGUAAUAAAAGAAGCUGGAUAACUAGCCAAACAAAAAUCUUAUUCAUGAGAGAAACUCAAAGUAUGAGGCAAGCUGAUUUAGCAAAUUGUGUCAAGUAAGGAUAAGAUCUAAAACAUACU